rnacentral:lncRNA from 1 species
AAGAGCCAGACCUGGUCUGGAAAAACAUGAGCAAACCUCAAACUUCUAUGUGGCAGAGCUCUCUCUGUAGAGAUUUGUUUGUGGAUCUGCUAGUGAGGCAUGCAAGAGGGGAUGCAGUACUUUCAUAUGCUACAAAACUUUGUCUCAUCAGUUUCAGCACCGAAACAUUGGAAUAGGCCGAAAGUCAGACCUAGUCUGAAAACAUGAGCAGUCAUCAAACUUUGACAUGGCAGAGCUCUCUCUACAAAAACCCGUUUGUGGCUCUGCAAGUGGGAUGCAAGAGGGGAUGCAGUACUUUCAUAUGCUACAAAACUUUGUCUCAUCAGUUUCAGCAACGAAACACUGGAGUAGGCCGAAGAGUUAGACCUAGUCUGAAAACAUGAGCAGUCAUCGAACUUUGACGUGGCAGAGCUCUCUUUGCAGAAAUCUGUUUGUAGCUCUGCAAGUGGAGAAUCCAAGAAGGAAUGAAGUAGUUUCAUAUCACCUACAAGUUUCUCCUACCAGUGUCAGCAUUAAAACGUGGAAGUAGGGAAAAGAGACAGACCUUGGCUGAAAAAUAGGAAGAAGAUUGAAACUUCAACAGAGCAGAGCUCCCUCUACAGGUGUUUGUUUGCUGCACUGUCAGUGAGGGAUCGAAGAGGAGACAAAGGAGUUUUAGAUUCAUCAGGUUCUCUUCCAAUAAAGACAAUGCGUGAUUCCACACGUCGGCAGUGGCAAUGCUGCAAGUUUCUAGACGCUGCCAAGAUUACCUAGCUGGUGGAAGUUUUCCAACAACCCUCAACCAACCACAACAACAUUGGAAGAAUGACAUGAUGUUGUGAAGAUCAUCGAAAGAAUUGCGCGAGCUAUGAAGAAGUGAAGGAUUGAAGGUUUUGCCACGGAUUCCAGAACUGUGAAGAGAGUUGAAUCAGAAGAUGACUCUCAAUUGAGAAACCUCAGUUAUUUUGCCUAGUCAAGUCUCGCUCAAGCAUCAACUACUCCAAUGUCUUUGCCAAAGAUAGACAUUCCUUUGCCAUGUGGGUUUAUUUACCAGCAUCUGCCAGAUUCCAGACUUUUGCCUGACUCUGGCAGAUCCCAUGCAACCACCGUUUUCUAAGUGGUAUAAUCCAGACAAGAGAUGUGAUGUCAUGGUGGGGUCCUCAGCCAUUUCAAUUGAACAAUUACAAGAAUCGAGUCCGGAAGUUGGUGAGCAAAAGACGAGAGGAAUCUGUGAAGGAGCUUGUCAUCGAUCAUUUUGUCGCCAGAACAUCCUCAGAAUGACGAGUGAUCGGAAUUGCUUGGCAAAACAGAGAUAUUGCCAAAGAGGCUGAUCUAAGAAGGGGUUAAACUAUCAAUCAUUUUUGUUAUGGAUUUUGCCAUCUUGCAUUUUGUUUUGGGGUCACAUCUCAUCCUUGAACGAAACAUGUCUUUCCUUUGUCUUCCUGUUGUUUUGAAAUCAAGAGAUGCUUCUUUCAAAGGGUAGUUUUACAAAAUAUUUUGAUCAAGCUCCAACAUGUGAUUAAGAUUAAUCAAUCCUGAAGAUUAAAAGUAUUUUGAUUGCAAAAAUGACUCGAUGCUUAAAAAUGACAUGAGGUGACCAAACAAUUUUGAACUCAUACCUCCUGAAACUGAACCCCACAAUGUAGCUAAAUUUUUAGCAGUAUGCAUAAUGACAUGUAGUGGAUUCAGUAGUUAUGGACUCGUGUAUCAUGACUCUUACAAGUCCAAAUCAUUACACUGGAUGAGGUCAAAAUUUAUCGGUUCUAACCGACCUUGCUUGAAACGAGAAAAGGCCAUCUUUGUUAUCCUUUCACAUUUCUUGAAAUAUUAUCCCUUGCAGUCCCAUUUUGAGCCUGGUAAAAUAUUUUCUUUCAAAGAGAAACCCUGACUAGGAUCACACCCCACACUGGGGGCAAUGAGAGAUAUGUUUAUUAGGAAGGAUGAAGACACUGAUAGAAUCAAUGAUAAAAGAAAGGCUUAGAAUAAAAGCCCAAUGAUUGAGAAAGGGAGAACAAGAAAAGCCAUAGAUUGAGGGCCAUCCAAGAAAACUUUGAGGAAGGUUAUGUAAAAGAAAAAAGUGGAAAUGAAGGAGAAUGCCUAUCAAUUCUAAGAGGGGCAAAAGAGGUUUUAAUGGAAGAAAGACACAACAAAUGCCAAAAGUCAACACCAAAAAAAAUCAAGUUUCAUGUCUUUUGGUGUGUCUAGGAUAAAGCCUUUAGUGUCUUCAAAAAUUUUUAGAUUCAUUAUUCAUCAGAGAAAAAGUUGGAUUAGCAUUAUGACCUAUGUUAAGAGAAUUCUGAAUUUGAUAUUAACAAGGUUAUAUGUCACUUUCUCUACAAUGACAAUAAGAAAAAAAAAGUUGAUGAAUAGUUGAUAUUGAUCCUAGGGCUUUGAAACCCUCAAACACCUUUUGAGCUUUUGAAAUUCCUUUCUUUCAUAGCCAUGAACCAUAGCCUGCAUUACGUGCUUUAAAAAGCCCUUUUUAAUCAAGUAAGCAAUCUGAACCGAUAAAUGACGAUCUCAAAACUUGAAGAGUUUUCCAUAAGAGUCAUAGCUUCAUGGAUUAAGCUACUGGUUAUUAUGCAUGCUGAUAAAAUUGGUGUUAAAAGAAAACAAUCUUUCUUGAUGAAUCCUCAAGUUUUGACUUGAGCCUUUUGUUUUCCUUGAAAUUCACAGAAGGUCACCUCAUUGCAGACCGUGAAAAGAUAUACCCAAGAUCAAAGAUUAAAACUGACAUAAAGAACCAUGAAAAAGGGUCAUUUUAAACUUACAACGGGUCAUUUCUGUUUUCAAAAUACAAGAUAAUCAAAGGACUAUAUUGAAUAGUGUGUGUUGGGUCUUUGACCAAAAAGCUUGAUUUUCAAAAGAUCUUUUCCAAAACUGAUAUCUCUUUGAUUUCAUUUCAACAAUUAGACUCGAAUUGACAUGAUCUUUGAAAUAUGAGAGUUGAUUCCAUAACAAGAAAUAUUGUUAAACAUCAAGAACAUCGACCAAAUUUGCAAAAUCCUUGACAAGAAUGACAUCAACAUUUCUCGACACUCCUUGAAAAGUUGACCACCUGGAGGCAAUACAGUGGAUCAUGGGUAGGAAAACAAACAGUAUUCAGAUCAGCUGGGGGCAAAGAAAGAUGAUUAAAUGAAGAAUCGAUGAACGAAGGACAAUGUGGUUCAAAGAAAGAUAAUCACUGAAAGAGCACAUUCAGAUCACACCGGGGGCAAUAUUGUUCAAAAACAUUCCAUGAUCUAGUGAACUCCAGCAGCAAUUGAAAACAACGCUGCACUUGAAGGGCAUUUCAUUAUCAUCAGCUUGGGUUGCCCUUUGAAACAUGGCUAUGACUCCUGACAGAUGUUAUCAGGUGAGUGCAUUUGAAUGAACAUCAAAAGAUGCACACCACCAAGACUGACUGUGGGACCAUCUAUUCUGAAUCUCAAAAGCGCACUUCACCGUAUGAAUAUGGGUGAUAACAUGAACAUCAUUAAUGAUGUCAAGACAUUUCUUUCCACUAUCUGAUUUGACAAGCUGAGAGAAAUCCAUGAGAAAGAACAUUGAGCAUACAACGAUGAGUCUUUCACUGCAAGCUAUGAGAUGCAUGUCUGGAUGAUUGGAUAGUUUCAAUGAAGACUGAUGAUAAUAUAUACUUGAAGAGUAUUGUUUCAACUGGGGGCAAGUUCAUGACUGAUUGACAAUCUAAAAGGAGGUUAAACACCAGAAAACCUCUUGAGGGGUGUUGGCAAAACACAUGCACCAAAUCAAAGGACAAUUCUUGAGAGAAUCUAGGAGAUGGAUGAUUUGUUCAACUCCUUCAUGAUGAAUCGAGCAACACCGCACUUGGGGGCAGAGUCAAGCUUGAUAAACAGCGAGAGCAGUAAUUGUUGUGGACAGCCCAGGAUGUGCACUGCACUUACAACUGAGGGGAUGGCUAGCACAUGAAUGAGCCAAUGCAUCGAAAGAACCAAUAAAGCUUUGGAAUGCAAACAAAGGCACCCUAUGACGAUGGAUCAUCAAAGGGGGGGGCCUAUAUUUCACAUCAGGUAAGGAUGCAUGCAUGUCAUCUAACCUCAAAGCAUUGCACAUACUUGUGAUUUGUUACAGAAAGAUCCUCAAUGAAGUCCAGCAAGAUUGUGGACAAAGAAAGAAUCAUUGAGUUUAUAAUAACAGAGAAUCAUGGUUGUGACUUUGAAACGGGAAGAAGAUGAGAUAAACCUUACUGUUAGGAAAAUCUCAAAGAAAUGAAAAGAUCAACCUUGCAAUCAGGAAGCAUCGAGUUUUCAAACCCUGCGAUCAAGAAUUAUCAAGAAGCACCAAGUUUUCCGGCCCUUCUUCUAUCAUCCCUUCAGGACUUCGCCAGGUAAGUCCUAUUUUUCACACUUGUCACAUCACAUCUUUCAUUUGGGUAGGUCACCCAUAACAAUGAGACCAUUUCACAUUUUUUCUAUCCUCCACAUGGGUAGGUCACCCAUAAUAAUGAGACCGCUUCAUAUUUUUCUCAUCUUCCAUCUGGGUAGGUCACCCAUUACAAUGAGACCGCUUCAUAUUUUUCUAUCCUCCACCUGGGUAGGUCACCCAUUAUAACGCGACCACUUCACAUUUUUUCUAUCUUCCACCUAGGUAGGUCACCCAUUAUAAUGAGACCGCACUUCACAUUCUUUCCAUUUGGGUAGGUCACCCAUCAUAAUGAGACCGUUUUUCACAUUAUUUUUCUUGGGUUCGUCACCCAUACAAUGAGACCAUCAUUUUUCUUGGGUUAGUCACCCAUACAAUGAGACCAUCAUUUUUCUUGGGUUCGUCACCCAUACAAUGAGACCAUCAUUUUUCUUGGGUUCGUCACCCAUUACAAUGAGACCAUUUGUUCCACAUUCUUUGUUUUAGUUUAAUGAGGUCGCCAGAUGGGAUCUCAUGUAGCUUUGGUUAAAGGGAAUCGCCAGAUGGGAUUUCAGGUUGACCGAGUUACGUAACAUCUUUUAGUUUUGGUUUAAUGAGGUCGCCAGAUGGGAUCUCAUGUAGCUUUGGUUAAAGGGAAUCGCCAGAUGGGAUUUCAGGUUGACCGAGCUACCACACAUUUUUUAGUUCCAGUUGAAUGAGGUUGCCAGAUGGAAUCUCAUGUAGCUUUGGUUAAAGGGAACCGCCAGAUGGGAUUUCAGGUUGACCGAGCUACACACAUUUUUUAAGUUCCAGUUGAAUGAGGUCGCCAGAUGGGAUCUCAUGUAGCUUUGGUUAAAGGGAAUCACCAGAUGGGAUUUCAGGUUGACCGAGCUACCAUAUUUCUUAGUUUCAGUUGAAUGAGGUCGCCAGAUGGGAUCUCAUGUAGCUUUGGUUAAAGGGAAUCGCCAGAUGGGAUUUCAGGUUGACCGAGCUACACACAUUUUUUUAGUUUUGGUUUAAUGAGGUCGCCAGAUGGGAUCUCAUGCUGGUUCUGGUUAAAGGGGAUCGCCGGACGGGAUCUCAGGUUAGCCCAACCACGCAGGAUAUUGGUUCUGGUUAAAGGGGAUCGCCGGACGGGAUCUCAGGUUAGCCCAACCACGCAGGAUAUUGGUUCUGGUUAAAGGGGAUCGCCGGACGGGAUCUCAGGUUAGCCCAACCACGCAGAUUUUGGUUUUGGUUCAAGGAGAUCGCCCGAUGGGAUCUCACAGAAAAAAAAAGGAAAGAAAAAUAAAAAAGAGAGAAAGAAAGAAGAAGAGAGAAAGAAGGAAAGGAGAAGAAAAAAAAAGAAAAAAAAAGAAAAAGAAAGAAACAUUUAGAGUUUUUCUUUACAAAGCUUACUAUGCGAAACAUUGAGGAGUUUUGCUUCGUAAGCAUUGUAAAGAGGGGGCAUCUGUUGCUACCCAAUUUUUGACCCAUGUUUUGAUAAAUUUUCAGAAAAAUCCAAAAAUAGCGAAAAAAACAUUGAAAAAUCCAAAAAUAGCGAAAAAACAUUGAAAAUCCCAAAAAUACAUUUUUUAUACAUUUGUAUCGUUUUUAGCAUUUUUAGCAUCGUCUCAAAAGAAUUUAAAUUUUCAAAGACAUUUGGAACGCGUUCAACUUUUCACGCGUCAUUUUUAAAAUCAUUGAUUUUCCACAUUGAGUCGAUGUUGAUAUUUGCUCGCUUUCAAAAAUACAAAAAAAUAAGAAAAAUCAAAAUUUACAAAAAAAGAGGAAAAGAGAAGGAAAGGAAAAGUUGAGGGACUAAUUUGAAAACCUAGCAAAACUCUUCCUAUAAAUACCAUGCUAUACUGAAUUUUCAAAGGGGGGGCAAUUUUGACAACAUCAGAAAAAAUACAAAAAAAACCUAACCCUAAACCCAUCUUUUUCAAGGGAGCGCCGCCCCCCUCCCUUUCCUCUGGUUUUUCGGCCAGAACCAGAGCCGCCACUUUUAUCUUUAGGGGAAGAAGGUCGAAACCAGGGAUCCCCCCCGGUGGUUUUGAUUUUGUGCUCCCAGGCAGCCGCCCUUCCCUUCUCUUUAAAAAAAAACAGAGCCAAACACAGCCCCGAACCCCUGUUUUUGAUUUUUCUCCUCCCCUCACACACUAGCCGGCUACCACGUUCUCCUUCCAUUUCAGACUCUCCCUUCUCCCCUUGAGUCGCUGGCACACAGAGCCUUCUCCUAAAAAAACCAAACCGAUUCCCGUCAGCCAGCCCCUUCCCUCUCUCAGCUGCACACAGAUCGGCCUCUCCAUCAACGCCGGCCUCCACCAAGCCACACAGCAGAACAACCCCAUCUCUCCUCAGUCAGCCGGUCUCUCCCUUUUCCUCCACCGGCAGCCAUCACAGGCCGCUACCACCGACAGGGGUGAAGACCGUUCAGCAUCGACGACCUCCACAGAAGCAAGCCACCGCCUCCGCCUGCUUCCUCCAGACCAGCCCGAACACAGCGGCGCUCACAGAUUUGGAUCCGUCCGCCAUCUUCCUCAGCCGCCUGCACACAGACCUCCCUUUUCUCCAGCCAGAACCGCCGCUGGAACCUUCCCCUCUCUCGGCCGAUCCAGCUCCAGCAAGCACCACAACAGCCGUAGCUCCUCUGCCUCAACACUGCCAGCAACCUCUCCCAUCUCCACCGCAGCUCCAGCAGCCGCAGGUGACAGCAGCAAAGACAACUGAAGCCGACGAUCAGACUAGCAGAUUUCUUCUCCAUCUCCGCCGGCCAGACCCGACAAAAGCCUAGCAGCCGGCGGCCCUCUUGGUCAUACAGCCGACCACCUGAAACAGAAAAGGAGAAACAAAAGGAAAAGAACCAAUCUGUAGAGAGGAGCAGAUCCGAAACGGAGAAAAAGAGAAAGAGACGCAGAUAUGAAAACAAAGUAAAGAAAAACUAAAAUCGACUGCCUGUUGCGUUUUUGGGUGUUUUGCAGGUCACACUGGCGAGGACAGGAAGAGGGGAAGAAGCUGUGGCUGACCCCUGCUUUUCCGGCGUUUUGUGCGGCGGCGCGUGGGUUCACGCGCAGCCAGUGGCGGUGGCGCGUGGAGGAGACGCGCCGCCACUGUUCCUGCUGUCCUUUGGCUUCACAGAACAUGGUCCCAGCACUGCUAUGGAUUUUUGAAUGGCUGUUUUGUAAUUUUAAAAUUGUUUAAUGUAAUAUUUGUGUAUUUUUUGUGUUUUUUUGUAAUUUAUAUUUUGUAAACAUGGAAGCAAAAAAAAGAAAAGAAAAGAAAUAUAGUGAAAGUGUAUGUGUGUGUUUGUAUUUUUUUAUGUAUGUUAUUGAAUCAAAAAAAUGAAUUUAAUAUUUUAAUUUAUAGGCACAAAUAUCUAAAGGACAAAUAAAAAUCAUGUUGUAUUUCUCAUAAAAAUGUAGAACAUGUAUCUACAUAUAUUUUGGGAACUAAUAACUGAUUUAUCAAAGCCUUAGAAUUGGGCUAAAAUUUUAUUUUAAAAACGCAUAAGGUCCACGAAGCAGCUUACCUCAGGUAGGGUGCGUUAGGGGUGCUAAUACCUUCCCUAACCACAACCAGUCCCUUACCCAUGAAUCUCUGACGAGACCAGUACACCCGGGUUUCCUAGUAGCCCUCAAUUAAAUACUAGGUGGCGACUCCCAACGAACCAAAUCAAAGCAAAACGACAAACGAAAAAUCGCUAGCCGAUGCCGCGCGGAUUUUUUUUUGACGUGCGACAUUGAAAUCAACCUCGACACUCUUCUUACUGAGCCUGGCUUAAGAAGACCAAUUUAUGAAUACCAUGUAAAUGAUAGGGAUGCAAUCCAAAAAGCUUAUCUACGAAAGGGUCAUUGUCAACCUUCACACUGUGAUUUUCCUCAAAAAUAAUUUGGGAAUAUAUCUACACUACGAUGCUUUAAUCCGACUUGGUUUGGUGCAUACUCAACAUUGUUAGAGUAAAACAUAACUAAAGAUGUUUUAUUUUUCUUGUAUUGUUACCUCUUCAAGUCAAAAGGGGGUGUUGAUUCAUUUGGGGGUAAUGAGUUUUCAAAUUGGCAAAAAGGAAAGAUUUGAUCUUCAUAUUGAAAAGUCUAAUAAUAGUCACAAUGCAAAUCGGAUAAAAUAUGAGAAUUUAAAGAAUGAAAAACAAAGUAUCACGACUUUGUUAUCCGAGCAGAGAGUAAACAGUCAAAGUGAUUAUCAAACUCGAUUGAAUGCUUCAAUAGAGUGUGCUUGUUUUUUGUUGCACCAAGGACUUUCAUUUCGUGGCCAUGAUGAAUGUGAAUCUUCAAGCAACCAAGGAAAUUAUCUAGAGCUCUUACAUUUCUUUUCCAGAAAUAAUGAAGCUAUUAAAAUAGUUACUUUCAGUGAAGCUCCUAGACAUAACAAAUUAACUUCUCCAGAUAUUCAAAAAGACAUUACUGAAGCUGAUGCAGAGGAGAUUACAAAUAUGAUUAUCAAACAUCUAGGUGACUCAUUAUUUUUAAUUUUAAUUGAUAAGUCAUUUGACAUAUCAAUCAAAGAAUAAAUGGUAGUUGUUUUAUGAUAUGUAAACAACAAUGGACAUAUAAUUGAAUGCUUUCUUGGCAUUCAACAUUUGUCCGAUACAACUGUUAGUUCACUCAAGGUAGCUAUUGAAGUUUUGUUUUCUAAACAUGGGCUAAACAUAUCAAGAUUGCGUGGUCAGGGAUAUGAUGGAGCUAGAAACAUACGAGGUGAAUUCAAUGGCUUGAAAGCACUUAUUCUAAAUAACAACCCAAGUGCAUAUUAUGUACAUUGUUUUGCUCACAAACUUCAAUUGACUUUUAUGGUUGUUACAAAGAAGCAUAAUGAAGUUGAAAAUGUCUUUAAUUUUAUUUCUAGUAUUAUAAACAUAGUUGGAGCAUCAUGUAAAAGGAUGGAGGUGAUUAGAGAAAAACAAUAUGCUAGAAUUAUUGAAGGACUUGAAAAUGGAGAAAUUUCUAGUGGACGAGGUUUGAAUCAAGAAACUUCUCUUAGAAGGUAUGGUGAUACCCGUUGGGGCUCCCAUUAUGUUAUAAUUAUUCGUGUACUUGUAAUGUUUUCAUUAUUUCUUGAUGUGCUUGAGAUUAUAAGGGAGGAUGGGAUGAGCUCAGAACAGAGAAUGAAAAUAGUCGUUUUAACAUAUAUUAUGGAAUCAUUUAAUUAUGUGUUCAUGCUUCAUUGUUUGAGAAUGAUACUAGCAGUUACUAAUGAGUUCUUACAAGCAUUACAAAAAAAAAGAUCAAGACAUAAAAAAUGCUAUGAAUUUAUUGAAAACAUCAAAGGAACGAUUCAAAAUGAUGAGAGAGAAUGAUUGAGAAUCUUUAUUGGAAGAAGUGUCAUUGUUUUGCAUCAAACAUGAUAUUAAUACUCUAAACAUGGAUGAUGAGUAUAAGCUUCGUGGGCGUUCAAGGCAAAAAUCUCAAAGGAUUAUAAGCCUACACCAUUUCCGUUAUGUUUAACAAUAUCAUUGACAUGCAACUUACUGAGUUGGAUGAUCAUUUUACUGAGAUAAGUAUGAAGUUAUUUUUUUGUGUGACAUGUUUAAACCCAGGUGACUCUUUCUCUACUUUUAACAAAGAAAAUCUUAUUCGCUUUGCUCAUUUUUAUCCCAAUGAAUUCUCUAUAAUGGACCUUAUGGUACUUGGUAACCAACUUGAUACAUAUAUUAUUGAUCUAUGUGGUGAUGAUGAGUUCUCUAGUAUUGGAUGUAUUGCUAGUCUUGUAGAGAAAAUGGUAAAAAGAAAGAAGAAUGUGAUAUUUCCAUUAGUAUACAUACUUAUUAAAUUGUCAUUACUUCUACCAGUUGCAACUGCUAUAAUGGAGAGAGUUUUUUCUGCUAUGCAUAUUGUCAAGAGUAGAUUGCGGAAUAUGAUGUGAGAUAAAUGGAUGAAUGAUAGUUUGAUUAUAUAUAUUGAGAAAGAUAUCUUCAAUAAUAUUGAUAAUGAAAUUAUUUUGAAGCGGUUUCAAAAUAUAAAAACUCAAAGAGAACAAUUAUAAUGUAAGUUUUUUCAUUUUAAAGUAUUUUUAAAUUAAUUUUACUUGAUAUGAAUUAAUAUAUAUGUUUUGAAUUGAGUUCUAACGCAUAUCUACAUAAUAUAGUAUUUAUUAGUAAUUUGUCCCCUCAUUUAAAAAACUCUGGCUCCGCCAAUGACCCUCCAUCACCAUCAUCUUCAUCUCCAAGCACCAGCUUCGCCUCCGCCUCCAGUAAGCAUAAGUAAGUCUCCUCCCAUUUUGUUUAUACAUUACACAGUGUGAAGGUAAUUUUAAUUACCUUCGCACUGUGCAACACACAUGCGUGCUCUUUUGCCCAGUUAGGUCACCGGCUUGGGCUAGGUCGGCUGGGUCCAGCCCAGCCUGUAUAGGUGGUCAAACCCAACCUAAAAAAUGAAAAACAAGAAAAAAAACUGGACCUUUUUGAAUUUAUUUGUAGGUUCCUCGUAUUUUUUUAGGGUAUUUCACUAUAUAUUUGAUAUGUGGAUUUUUAUUGUUAAAUGCAAAUCCGAUAUUCGAUACAUUAUUUUUUUUCUUAAAAAAGAUAAAAAAAAUUUUGUAUGCCUUGUUUUAAAUUCAUUUUAUUGGUUUAUUUAUCAACGCCAGAGCUAGAGUUAGAAAUACAAUAUGUUUUUUUUGCUACGUAAUAUUUAUCAAUGCUAGAGUUGGAAACAUCUGUGUCUGAAUAUUCACUGGUGUUAGAAUUAGGAAUAUUAUAGGUAGACCAUCAAAGAUAAAGCACAACAAACCCCUAAUAAUUUAAGACAAAACUCGUGAUGUAGGCUACCUUAGGUAGAACGAUUAAGGGGUGAUAAUAUCUUCCAUUUUGCGUAAGCAGUCCCGUAGCAUAGAAUCUCUGCUGAUCAGUUAGGGUUUUUAUUGACCAUAAUACUAGGUGGUGUCUCCUUAAACGAGACCUUUCCUCAUCAAAUAAUAAGAUGCUAUAAAUCUUUUAUUUAUCCUUUAAAGAUGAUUUUUUUAGGGUCGCCGCGAUGUCGGGUUUAACAGUACUAUUUGGAUGAUUGUGGAUCAUCUGACGAAGUCUGCCUUAUUUUUACCCAUGAAAAUGAAGUAUUUGGUUGAUAGAUUAGCCAAGUUGUAUGUAAAUGAGGUGGUUAGGCUACAUGGUGUGCUAGUGUCAAUUGUUUUGGAUAGGGAUUCAAGGUUCACAUCAAGGUUAUGGCCAAGCCUAUAACGAGCUUUAGGAACCAAAUUAGAUCCAAGUGUUGCGUUUCACCCUUAGACUGAUGGUUAGUCUGAAAGGACUAUUCAGGCUCUCUUCUAAGAAAUUAUGUGUUGGAAUUUGGAAGAAAUUGGGCAGAUCUUUUGCCUUUAGUGGAAUUCACGUAUAAUAAUAGCUACCAAGUUACAAUUGGUAUGGCCUCGUACGAAGCAUUGUAUGAGAGGAGGUGUUGCACCCUGGCCUGUUGGGAUGAAGUGAGAAAAAUGAAAUUACUAAGGCUGAAAAUGGUAAAAAUGACAAAUGACAACUGAUAAGGUAAGGGUAAUUAGAAAAAGGAUGAAAGAAGCUCAAGAUAGAUAGAAAAGUUACGCGGACAAUCAAAGAAGGCCUUUAGAGUUUCAGGUGGGAGAUAAGAUAUGUUUGAAAGUGACACUGUGGAAGGGAAUUAUUUGGUUUGAGAUCAAAAGGAAACUAGCUUUGAGAUACAUUGGUCCUUUUGAGAUUAUAGAAAGAAUCGAACCUAUUGUUUACCGAUUAAAUUUUCCCACAUAAUUAGAUAAGAUCUACAAUAUGUUUCAUAUAUCAUUGUUGUAGAAAGCAAAGAUGGACCCAUUAUAGGUGUUGCCAUGGGUUCCUAUCAAGUCAAUGGAGAUUUAACCUUGGAAACCAAGCUUAUCAAGAUUCUGGAUUGGGAUGAAAAAGUGUUAAGGAAUCAAAAGGUUCUAUUAGUAAGGGUGUUAUGAAGGAGCUCUAAGAUAGAGGAAGAGACAUGGGAAAGGGAAGCAAAGAUGAAUGAGAAGUAUCCGUAUUUAUUCAAGGAUGAAUGUAUGAUCUAAUAUUUUAAGGAUGAAUUUUUUUUUAGAGGAAAGAAUGUAAACCCCGAUAUAAAUUUGGCAUAAAAUUAGAGAAAUGUUUUAUAUUAAGUAAAAUAAAAUAAAAUGAAUGAUGUAUGAAUUUUAAUAAAUGAGGCACGAAUAUAUGUAUAUAUAAAAGGUAAGGAUAUGAAAAUUGAUCCAAAAUAAUUUCUUGUAAAUGUUGAUUAAAAAAUAUAAACCCGGUACAACUCAAGAGUUCUAUAAAAAUUUUAAAGGAAGUGUAUAAGAAAGUUAAGCAAAUAAAAUACAAAAAUUGAGGAUUUGACACUUAUAUUAAGGGAAUUGAUAUGGACAUUUGAAAUUUAGAAAAAUUGUUAGCGAACAAAUUUUUAAAUAUAGAAGUGCGAAAAUGCUUAAAAAAAAAGUUCAAAAUAUGAAUUAAAUUUUAGUGGAAGUGAUUUAUGAGGAAAGAAAGGUACUGGGCUAUUGAUUAGUAUUUAAAAGUUAUAUUAUCAUUUUGCACUUGAAGUAUCAAUAACUCCUUAACUAGAGCAUGUUUUAUAAUAACAUGUCUAAUAAUAUAAGAUACCUUUAAUUUAUGAUAAAUGUUCAUAUUAAAUGCAAGCCUAUCACAUAAUUCAAAGGAUUGAUUGAUGAGUUUAACUACUAAAAUUGAGCAGACAAAGAGAGGGCUAAGCUUAGAAAAGAGAUGCUGGUUUAGACCAAACUGGAACACCAUACGGUUAUUGGAUCAUAACUGGAGCUGUAGAACUUGGAUUUAGGUCUAGUUUAUAUGGAUAGAAAGCUAAGACAUAGGCAUAAAACUUUCAUGAAGAGUCCAAGUUUCAAAAGGACCGUUUUCAAGUUCAAAUUGUAGCAACAACAGAGAAGUUGGAAUCUAUCCUAUAGCCCAGACACUGUUCAGUGUUUAACCCAUAUCUCGAGUUCUAAAAGUUCAAAUGACCUCAUUCUUAUUGUUUUGGAAAGCUGAGACAAUUUCCUAGAAGUUUCAUGAAGACUAUCUGUUCAAAUUCUGAUGUUAGCAAUGACGUUUUCUGCAGAUAAGAAGAUAAGGAUUGUUACCAAGUCAAGAGGUGGUCACCCACUCAACAAUUAAUCAUCAAAUCAAUAGUUCCAAAUUUUGGCCUAUAAAAGGAGGCAUUUGCCAUCAUCUAGACAUCUUGGUGUUUAGAUCAAGAUCUUGUUCUUACUCUUUUUCUUUGUAAUUUGUAAUGUCCAAGUUUUAUUCUCCUUAAUCUCUUGUUUAUGCUUUUCAUUUCCUUUACUAUACUUAUAUAAUUAUGUUCUUAUCUUGUUUAUUUAUGUUUCUCUUAUUCAUAAUGUUUAACUAAGUUUAUUAUGUCAAGGUGAAAAGGUUACAUUAAUGGUGUAAGAAUAAGUAUAGUAUAAACUCAACAUGGACUUUGUCGCACGUGUGCGGCGUCACGGCGAAAACAUCCACCCUCAAAAUCUUGUGUUAAAAAAAAUAUAUAUAGCAAAUGUGUGGAGACAAGGAAUUCUUGUCUUUUAUUAGUGGAAAAAUGAAAUGGGAGUCGCCACCUAGUAUUUUGGUCACUAGAAACCCUAACUGGUCUCAGAGAUCGGGUACGGGGACUGGUUGCGUAAAGGGAAGGUAUUAGCACCCCAAAUAUGCCCUACCUAAGGUAAACUGCAUUGUUUUAUUGUUUGAUAAAAUCUAAGGUCAUGUUGUGCUUUUUAUUUGUUAGUCCGUCUAUGGCUUAAGAAAAGUUCUCUUUGGUAAAGAUAUACUUAUCUUAUCGGGUAAAACCUAACCGGUCUAAUACCAACAAAGAAAAUUUAAUAUCCGGAACACGUCUUACAUAUAAGAUCAUAACCCAAGAUAUUAAAAGAAAACAAAAUAAAUUUUUUUUAGAAUUUUUGAAGUAUUGGCCUAGUUCUCGUGACUUUAAUAAACUUGUUAUUAAAGCCAAAAUGCAUGCUAAUACAUAUUUUUUUGAAAUUUUCUUUGUUGUAUGAAAAUACAAUAUGAUUUUUUAUUUUUUGAGAGACUUGGCCGUAUGCAUGAAAACAAAACAUUUUUUAUGUCUAGAAAAAAACGUGGUAUUUUAAUACCGGAUUUGUAUCUUUACAGUAUAAAAUACAAACCGGUAUUGAUUAAAAUGCAGUAAAAAUUAGUGGAAAAUCACAUAUAUUUAAAUAAUUUAUUAUUAUUAUUUUUUUUUUGCUGGGCCCAACUCAGCCCAUAUGCUGGGCUGGACCCCAGCCAACUUGCAUAGCUGGGCUGGAUUCAGACAGCCCAGCAUGGUCACUGGCAUGGGCCAGUGACCAUCUUCAAAAAGAAAUUACCCCAGCCAACCUGCGUAGUUGGGCUGGAUUCAGACCAUGCUAGUGGCCAUCUUCAAAAAAGAAUUACCCCAGCCAACCGGCGUAGCUAGGCUGGAUUCAGACCUGGCCCAUGCCAGUGACCAUCUUCAAAAAGGAAUUCCCUUGUUGAGACUUGAAACCGGGUCUCUUGGAUGAGAUCUGGGUAAGCUGACCAUCUAGACUGCAAGGCAUAUUUUUAUCUAUUGGCACCAUAAUAUUUUUAGGCUUGUAUGAACAGGGCGAAGGUAAUUAAAUUACCUUCGCUCUGUUAACCAUCUUUGUUGCAGUGCGAGAAAAAAAAAGAAAAAUAAAACAGAGCAUGUAACUGGCGAUUUCUGGCGUCGGUUUCCUUAUGUUUUAUUUCUGUAUUUUACAUACUAACAUGCAUCAUCUCAUUCUGCAGGGAAACAGAGAAGGGCAUCGAACAUACCUGAUUUUGAGAAGACGAAGACGAAGACGAUGGUGGUGCUGGAUUCUCUGCUUCACAGUGUCCUCUGUUUCUGUUUGGUUUGCUUCUUUCUCUCGUUCCUCUUCUCUCCCUUAUGCUUGCUCACUAUUUCUCCACUCUCUCACUUUUCUUACGUUCUCAUAAGCUGUCUCACUCCCUUUUUUUUUUCUUCACGGUAGCCUCUCCUCUCUCUCCUUUUUUUGUGUGUUUAGCUCUUCCUCUGGCUUUUAUAGCCAGAGGACGCCAGCAAUUUUGGUAAGCCGGCGCCCAUCACGGUGACGAGGGAUAUCAGCCGCGAUACCCGCCCUAUUGAAUCGAGAAUAUUUUCCAUAAUCGCUGCUAACGUCUCCUUCCAUUAUCGUCACCGAUUCACAGCUAUUUGAAAACCAUUAAUGGUGGAAACGACGCCGCUUGGGUUCUUCUAAUUUGGCCCUUGAAGUUUUCGCUGUUUUAUAAUCAAACCCCCCGAAAACAUUGUAAUUGGAUUCCUUAAUGUUAGCGCCUUUUCUGGUUUGAUCCUUGGUCUCGAAUUGUUUCAAUUAAGUCCCUAAUUGGCCAUCAAACUUCAAUAAUUAUGCAAUUAAGCCCCUGAUUUGACCAAAUCAACUCUUUAAAAUUAUAAUUGGACCCCAGAACUUUAAUUUCUUCCUAUAAAAGCCUAAAUUGACUUACAAAAUCAAUUUUCUUGCAAUCAAACCCUCUAUAAAUUCAAUUAAACCUUGGAUAAAAUUUAAUUGAGUCCAUAAACGUCUGAUUUUGGACUUUUCUUCCUCAAAUUGAAUUUUCCUCAUCGACGGGGCUCUCACUGUCAAAUUUCAACUUUUUGCAUUUUUGAAUCUCCUUAACCAAUUUUGGCAUUUUUUUGGCAUUCCAACAAAUCUUUUUCUCGCUCCUAUUAUUUUUUGGAUUUCUUUUGAUAUAUAUAUAUAUAUAUAUAUAUAUAUAUAUAUAUAUAUUCUCAUUUUUAUGUGAACUCAAAAAUGGGUAACAACAGACUUUAAUGUUUGAUACUAACAUGCUUUGUAUUUGUUAUCUUACUCACUCAUAAUACCUUGUUUGUGAAAUGGUUAAUCUAGAUUUGUGUUGAACAACCUUUGGUACAACAAAUACUUGGCACUUUCAUAGCCCAACUGUAUGGUAUAACCAACACCUGUGUUAUGAAAGGAAUUUGAUUUGUUGUUAACAUAAGUUAUCAUCAUGAAUACCUGAUAAUAUUUACAAGUAUUAGCAUUAUUCAAAUAAGAUAACUAAUGUAAUCAUGUUAACAAUUUAUAAUCUGAUUGGAACCUUUUUUGUGUGUGGUUUCCAGUUGAGUAAUAAAAAGAGUUUAUAUUAUACUUAUUUGAAAUACCAUUAGUGGAUCCUCUAACCUUGAUAUUUGUUUUAUCCUUGUUUAAUCCUUACAUCAAUAUCACAUCUCAAAAGUUCUCUUCAACUCCUUUUCAUUUAUUGUUUAUAAUUUUAUAUAGUUCACCUCCCUAUGGUUCGACCCUGGUCUUGCGGGGUUAUUUAUUACUUCAAUAUUCCUGUACUUGGGAGAAGACAUCAGUCUUUUGAUCAUGUCAGGUAUAAAUUAAUGAAUUUUGAUAUAGCUUGUUGAAAAUCGAUAUUAAAAAUAUACCGAGAUAAGGGAAAUAAAACUCGAUAACUAUAAAAGUUAUUAUUUAAAGGGACAUAGUGGGAAUUUGAUAAUUUUUUCCUAUAAAAGAUUUGGGUGCAGCCGGCCAUGGGUGGGAUUGAGAGGGAAGAGAGGAAAAACUCAAUUUUUAAGCAACAAAAAAUACUUGAGAUUUGAAAAAUUCUUAAGAACCUAGAGAAAAACAAGGAAAAGAAGAGAGUUACUGAUACUAAAGGAUUUAAGCAACAAAAUCAUUUAGAUUUAAAGUGUUCUUGAAAGAAGAGUUUAGGGAUAUAGUGAGGGGGAAGGGGCGACAACAAUAAACAAGGAAGAAAAGGUGGGAAUCCUUGAUUUGUUAGCACUUAGAACCUAGAUUACUCAUUGAUAAGAUGUCUAACAUUCGUUUAACAAGUUCUUACAAUAUUUGUUGAGUUUCCAUUGAUUUUCAAUCAAAUUGAGGUUAAGGUAUGUCAUAACCCAUUUUUGGGUUAUUCCCAAAUUUAUUUUCUUUUCUUCCAAAAAAAAAUAAUUAAAAAAAAGAGAGAAACUCAAAACAGUGUCAUUUUGAAUGACACUGUUUUUCUUCUUCCCCUGCGAGUGUAGAGGCAGGGAAGAAGAAAUAUUUUCAAAAUCUUUUCCCGUCUUUUCUCUCUCCUAACAUAACCACACCCCGCCAUUAUUAUAGAAGAAAUAGGAGGCCCAUGCCCUGGCCACCAUGCCUGUAUUUGGACAGGGUAUGGUGACCAUCUCCCCCGGCAUCCUAUAAAUAUAGGGCGAAGAUUACAGAACAGGAGGGGAAGGAAAGUAAAAAAAAAAAGAAUGAAGGAAGGCAAAAAGAAAGAUAGAAAAAAAAAAGAGAAUAGAAGGGAGAGAAGCAAAAAAAAGAAGGAAGAGGAACAUAGAGAAACAAAGGGAAAUAGAGGAGAAUAGGGGCAGAAAAGGAAGGGGAAAGGGAAAGGGAAAGGGAAAGGAAAGAAUAGCAUGGAGCUAAAAAGGAGAAGAAAAGGAAACAAAAAAAUAAUAGAGGCAGAAAGAGGAAAUAGAGCGACUGUUUCUCUGUUACUAACAGUAACAACCCCGUCGUUGUUCGUGAGCCAUGACACCGCCAUCGACACUCUUCCCGGUCGCCAUCGUCAGCUCAACUACUAGAGCCCUCUCUGUUCCAAGUAACACUCUCAUUCUCCUGUUCGUCUUCCCAUUUAUUUACUUGCAUGCAGAAUGUGCACUGUUCAUGUUUUUGCAGCAAGAAAUAUAAUUAACCGGUUACUGUGCAUGAACACAAUAACCAAUCCAUGGUUGCUUCGGGCUCGACUAUCAGCCCAGCCCACGCGGCUGGGCUGAAUCCAACCUUAUAGAAAGGACUUUUUCUGCUAGGAUUGAAUUGAGUUGAAAUAACAAGUAAUUUUAAAAGGAAAUUAGUAGUCAUUUGCUAAGUGUGUGGCUAAUCAUUGAUGUAAAAAGAGGAAGGGUGUUUUUUUUUAAAAAAAAUCCUUAUCUUGAGGGUAUGUGUUUAUAUGAAUUAAAAUGAUGAGAAUGCAUUGAGGAAUAACAAUGAAGGUGUUAGAAAGGAUUGAGAAGAGUGUUGAUUGAAAGUUAAUGAAAUUGGAGAAUUAACUAUGUUGUAACCCAUUUUUAGGUCCCCACACAAAAAAGUAGAAAAUACAAAAAAAAUAAAAAAAUUAUAUAUAUUUGGAAGAAAUCAAAAAAUGCUAGUAGUGAGAAGAGGAUGCCAGAGCGCCGAAAAAAUAGUCAGAAAUUGGUUAAGGAGGUUUAAAAAUACAAAGUUUGAAAUUCAAUGGUAUACUUUUGAUUGAUAAGAGUCCUGUUAACAAAGAAAAUUCAAUUUGAGGAAGAAAAUUCCAAAAUCAGAUGUUUAUGGACUCAAUUAAAUUUUAUUAAAGGUUUAAUUGAAUUUAUAGAGGGCUUGAUUACAAGAAACAUUGAUUUUUAAGUCUAUUUAGGCUUUAAUUGGAAGAAAUUAAAGUUCUGGGUCAAGUUAUAAUUUUUGAGAGUUGAUUUGGUCAAAACAGGAGCUUAAUUGAAUAAAUAUUGAAGUUUGAUGGCCAAUUACGGACUUGAUUGAAGAAAUCUAAAACCAAGGACCAAUCUGGAAAAGACGAGUAAAUAGAGGGUCUGAAAUUGAUUGAAUCAGGGACCAAAUUGAAUAAAUAACAAAUUAAGGACUGAUUCAGAAAUUGACACAUUUUGGCGCCAUUUACUUUUAAAUGAAACGACGUGUUUUGGGCAAAACGGUGCCGUUUCAUCUACUGUUAAAAAAGAAAAAGAGAAGAAGCUCAAAACGAUGCCGUUUGGAAUGUCACUGUGGGUUCUUCUUAUUCCCCUAGACGCACAGAGAUAGGGGAAGAAGAAUUGUGUUCCCCUGCAUCUGCUCCUCUCCCUCUCCCUUUCCUAAAACCUAAAAAACCAACAAAGACCCCCACUUGCCUAAACUCUAACCUGUGGCCUACUAGACUAAAAAACAGAGGGGACGAGCCCCUCAAACGGCCAUGAGGCGGCCGCCCAACCACCCUACUCCUGUGCCAUGACUAGACAGGGGAAGUAGCGCUCUCUCCCCUAUUUUCCACUUAUAAAUACCAGGGGAGAGAGGGUUAAAGAGGGGAAAAAAAGAAAAAAACGGGUAGGAAAUAGAGAGAAAGAAUAGGGGGAAAAGGGUCGAACAGAGGGAGAAAAAGGAGAAUAAAAAUGAGGGGGGGAAGGAGAGAUUGAAGGAAGAAUUGAUUGAGAUACAGAGGACAGAAAGAGAAGAAAAAUAAAGAGCAAAAACAGAGAAAAGAAGAGAGAGAACGAAGGAGAUUGAACGAAAAAAAAGGAACAACCAGAACAAAGAAACAUAAAAGAAAAGAAAAAAGAAGAAAAUGAAGGAGAACAUAAAGGAUAGAAGAGAGAAACCGAAGAAAAAAAGAAAGAGAGAGAGGUAAAGGAAAACAUGGGAGAACAGAUGAGAGAGAGAGAGAAGAGAAACAAAAGCAAAACAAACUAGAAAGAGAGAAGACACAGGGACAAGGGGAACGAAACAAAGAUAGUGAUAGGGGUAAGUGCAAUCAAAAUAGAAGGAGAUAAGGAAAAACAUAGGCUUGAGCCUUUGCACAAGGAAGAAGAAGAACAGUCACCGCCGCAAUAGCCACCAUCAUUUUUUUUGCCAUCUCAAAGCACCGCCAACGACAGCAACCACGCUCCGUCACAUUAGGUAAUCUUCUCUCCUUCUCUGAUCUGUUUUGCUGGUUUGUUUUAUUUGCAUGCAGAACGUGAACAAUUCACGUUUUGCAGCAAAUGAAAUAUAAUUAGUUGGUUACUGUGCGUAGCACAACAACUGUAACCAGCUAUCUUCUCGGGCUGGACUUUAAUAUUCCAGUCUAUAUGGUUGGGCUGAGUCCAGCCUUGUAGAAAGAAGGUUUUCUUUUUGGGCAGGUUCUGGCUUGGUUUUAUUUUGGGCCAAUCUCGACCUAAUUUCUUUUUGGAUCGGGUUCAGCCCAUUACAAAAAAAUUCAAAAAAAUAUUGUCAAAAAAAUUUAGGAUUUUCUCACAUAUUUUUCUAUUCAUUUUGAUUAAUAUCGGUUUGUAUUUUUAUACCGUAAAGAUACGAAUCUGGUUUUCGUCAAAACGUUGCAAAAAUUAUAAAACAAAAAAAAGUUUUGUUUUCAUGCAUAUGACCAAGUCUCUUAAAAAAAAUCAUAUCGUAUUGUCAUACAAAGAAAAUUGAAAAAAAUAUGUUUUAGCAUGCAUUUUGGUUAUAAUAACCAGUUUAUUAAAGUCAUGAGAACUAGGCAAAUAUUUCAAAAAUUCCAAAAAAAUCAUUUUGUUUUCUUUUAAUAUUAAGGAUUAUAAGCUUAUACGUAAGACGUAUUCUUGAUAUAAAAAAUAUAGUUUUUUAUUGACGUUAAAAUGGUUAGACUUUACCCGAUAAGAUAAGGACCUCCUUAUCGAGGAGGACUUUUCUUAAACCAUAGAUGGAUCAACAAUUAGAAAACAUGACAAGACCUUAGUUUUUUUUAUCAUCUAAUUAAAUAAAGUAGCUUAUCUUAGGUAGGACGUAUUUGGGGUGCUAAUACCUUCCCUUUACGCAACCAGUCCUCGUACCCGAUCUCUGAGACCAGUUAGGGUUCCUAGUGACCAAGAUACUAGGUGACGACUCUCAUUCCCUCUUUUCCACUUAUAAAAUACAAGAAUCCCUUGUCUCCCCCUAUAUUUGCCAAGCAGAUAAAAAAACCUAUGAGAGUGGACGAUUGUUGCGACGUCGUACACGUACGACAAUCUACAAUUAUGAUAAGUUGCAAAAUGAUGAUAAAUUAGGUAAACUAGUUCUUAGAAGGUGUAUUUGAAAACAUUAUAGUGUAUAUUACACGACAAGGAAUUGAUUUUGAAUGAGGAUAAAUUAAAUUUGUAAUGUGUGAAUGUUACAGAAUUGUCGAUGAAAUUGGACAGUUUCAUCUCUUGGUCUUUCAAAGGGAAUAUGAGCAUGAAAAUAGGGGAAUUUAAACUAGGCCUCUUCAUAAAACUUGUAGCCUUGAAUGAUAUCCAUCCAAGAAAGUUGACCUUACUUAAUUUGGAGUUUUAUAACUCCAACUAUGGGCUAAUAAUUAAGAGCGGGUUGGGAUAGACCUUACUGGGCAGUUGGUCAUCUUCUCAAUAACAUAUAGUUUUAAGGGCUUUAUGAGCAAAACUAAGUUCUUCUCUCUCAGUGAACUUAUAACCAUGUAUCUUAGCUUUUCAAGGGAUUAAGCCACCCUUAAACUGAACUAUAUAAUGUUAGUUAUGGAUGAAAUACAAAAUAGUGUUCUAAUGAGGAAUUACGCUGAUUGUGAUGUUGAUUUGCAUUCUUAUUUAAGAAACUAGGGAAAAGGAUUUAAUAGAAAUAUGAGAUAUAAAUUUAAGAAAAAGGGGUAAUAAUGAAUGAGAUAAUUAAAUAGAAAUUUGUAUGGAUUUUGGAUUUAGAAGAAAUAAAUGCUCUCGAGUAAUGACAUGGUAUACUUGUUGAUGCAGGGGGAGCUACAGGAUUCAUACAACAACCUAUGCUAUCAAACUUUUAUAAUAGGUAAGUGCCUAACACCUAUGCUUUCUAUUUUCUGCUAUUUUAAAUUGUUUGGCAUGUUAAUGCUUGAACCCAAUAGUCUAUGUAUAUGAUGUUAAUAAGAAAAAUAAAAGAGGAUUAGUACGAAUGGUAGGUUGAGAUGUCAUUGAUUAGCUAUCUAGGUUAGGAUAGCUAAUGGUAUCAAUGGGAUUCCAUUGAUACCAACAUUUCAGAUGACAUUGAUUAACUAUCCUGGUUUGGAUAGCUAAUGGUAUCAAUAGGGUUUCAUUGGUACUGACAUUCCUUAAAUUGAUUAGUCUAACCCGGUAUUGGAAGACUAAUGAUAUUAAUGAGAUUCAUUAGUAUUAGUAAUUACCUUACUGAGAAUGGAAAAGAAAGUAUUGAUUUGUUAUUUUAAAAGAAUAAGAUAAGCUAAUGAUACCACAAGAGGAAUAUUUUGGUAUCAAGUGAGAAUUGAUUCAUAAGGAGAUGAUGUUUGAAACCAUUGAGUUUAGUUGAGAUUUCCAAGAUGAAAUUAUUCUCGAUAAACAGGUUAGGAUAUUAGAUGGAUAUUGGUAAUAAUGAAAAAUGUAUGUUGUAAAAGAGUUCUAUGCCUAAUUUUAUAUAUAUAUAAAAAAUACCAUGGAAAUUAUAACAUGUCAUUGUUAUUAUUUGUCACUACUUUUUUAUUUACAUAUACAUGUUAAUUUCUAUUUUCAAGUCCAUCAGGGUCACGUCAGGAGUGAUAUUAGUUUAGUCACCUUUUGCUUUUGAACAUGUAAUUAUUUUGUAAAUUAGAAGACUUAUCUCCCAAAACUUGAAAUGUACUAUUAACCCGUAAAUUUGGAUGUAUGACUUUAAUCUAAUGUAUGUAAUUCUAAAUACCUGUUUAACCAUGCAUGUUUAUAGUUGAAAUCAAAUCCUUCACUUGAAUUACAUUAUAUGAUGUUGUUAUGCAAGAUGUAGUUUAUGUGAUGAUAUUUUGUAACAAUUGAAUUAUGCAUUGUUAUUUUGUGAACUUGAAUUGUAUGAUGUUAUUGAAUAAGAUGUGUUCUAUUGAUGAAGAUGAGUUGGGUUGAGAUCUAAGAUGAUUGGAUUGGGUUGUGAAAUGAAAUUUAAAGCGUAAUAUAAUUUUAUCGAUAACUCGAGAUCUUCUAGUAUAGGGGAGACUCUGUCGAAAUUUCAGUCGAACUUGUAUAUAAUUUUUUUUUAAAAAUUUCCAUAUACCUGUUGUGUGUUUUCCUGGAAAUUGGGAUUGUUACAUUUUCAUUAUCUUUUUUUUUUGUUAAAUGCUACGUUUGGUAUAAGAAAACAAAAAAAAAUAUUUUGCUAUUUUAGCAUUAUAAAUUUUUUUUUUUUUUACAUUUGUUUGUUUUUUAAAAUGUAUUUUUAUUGCAUGUAUUUUAAGGCUUGAUAACAACUUUAUCAAGUUCAUUAAAAGACAUACUAAAACAAAAAAAAAAACCAUUUCUUUUAACUAAAUAAUUGUGAAAAUUCAUUAAAUGACUAGUUUUGAAUAAAACGAUAUAAAGCCUAUUUUUGCUAUUCUCAUGAGUCCAAUCAUCAUUGUAGAACUCAAUCUAGGAUUGUUCGGUUCAAAGUAAGUGGAUUUACGAAGAAUAUCAACCCCAAUAUUUAUUGAUAUCAAAAUCAGAAAUAUCAAUCCCAGUAGUUACUGAUACCACAAUCAGAAAUAUGAAUCCCAGUAAUUACUAACACUAGAGUCAGAAAUAUCAGCCCUAGUAGUUACUGAUGCUAGAGUUAAAAAUAUUAUAAACAAAUAAUUGAUAACAUAACACAACUCAUAGUAAUUUAAGACAAAACUAGCAAUGAAAUUAAGGUUUUUAGUGACCAUAAUACUAGGUGACGAUUUCAUAAACAAGACAUUUCCCUUAUAAGAACAAAAUGCCAUAUAUAUGUUGUUUUUUCUUUUUUUUAAAGGUCAUUGUAAUGUUAGGUGCGACAGAAUAAUGACUUUACUGGAGAAUUGAAGGUUUGAGGACCAAUAUGAAUAAGAUUGUAAAGUUUAGAAGUUAAUUUGACAAAUAUCAGAAGAAUUAAUAAGUCUUUAGAUGUGAUUGAACUUUUGUAUUACUUUAAUUAAUGCUAUUAAUGGUGAAAUUGAAGGAAUUAGAAGUUUGAAAAGUUAUUUGAGGACUAAAUUAAAAAAAUUCAAAACUAAGGAUCAUUGUAAGGCGCGUGGAAAUCCAAGAGUUUAAUUGCAAGAUUUUGGGGGUGACAUUAAAAAUAUUAUCAAAGAUAAGGACACUUUUAAGCUUAAUUGUAAGGUUUUGAGAGUUUAGGGGGUAAAUUAAAAACUAACAUUAACUUAACCUAAUUCCCUUUUAGUAGACGACUUAUCGUUGUUUUUAAACCAAAGCUCAGAACAAGUCAUUCAUGUACUGUUCAUUUUCUUUUUCAUUUUAAACCAUAAAAGCUAUUUAAGAAGCCACCUAUGCAACCUUGGUUCAGCCCAGUUUUUCUAUCAAAACACAUCAAAUCUUUCCAAAAUCAGAGACCAUAAUACCUCUUCUACAUCUCACUGUUUGGAUCAGGAAAAUCUAUGAUGCUCUAAAAAAAACUCCACAAGUCAAAAGAAAGAACCGUCACGGCCCGUAAUUUUAAACAUAUUAAAUAGAUUUAAAAGAUUUGCAAUUAUGAAGAAAAUACACGUCAAAAGAGAGAUCGGUAAAAGACCCGCUUAGUUAACGCGGAGGAAAAGUAAAGUCUAUAUAUAAAUUGAAUGCUAAGAUAAAAAUAAUAAAAAAACUGAAGUGGAGGCUUUCACGCUACCGAGGAAUGGGGGUAAUUUAAAUUAUAUGGGACCCAUCCUUCUCUUAGAGAGCUGCAUUCCAGCAACCCCUUGUAAGAACCUCUGAUUUUUUUCAUUUAUCCGAAACAAAUUUGAAAAUUGUGAGUACUACGCAGAUUCUAAGCCAACUAAACAGUUGAAAAAAGAAGAAAGAAAGAAAAGUAAUGAAUAAAUUGCCCAUUCUACCCUUUGGAAUAUUUGCUGGGCAAUUUUUUCAACUGUUUAGGUGGCUAAAAAGGUCUCAGGUUUAUCCGAAGAAGACCCGAACCUCUUUUAACCCACUUUGCCAUAACUAUAUAUAUAUAUACACCCCUCCUCUUGGUGCUCUUCAAACGCAAAAGCAACAUCUGCAUCUGCUCUUUCUUCUACUAAACGGUGCCGCUCUCGAGCCAUAUUAUCUGAGUAAGUCUAUAGUAUUAUGAAUCCUGUGGAAUUCCGUACUCGCUUCGAGUGCUACUAAUUGUCUCUUAAUCAUUCCUUUUUUAAUUAGCUGAGGAAUGGACGAAUACAGCCACGUAUUCGCACCUGCGCCGGACUCCGCCGCUGGAUUCCACUCCGCCGCUGUUAAAGGAGUUGCUGGCGGCGUCUCCCUUCUGCUUCUUGUUGUCAUAAUUUAUGUGGUCCUGAGGAGUGGCGGAUUCUCUAUGAAUUGCAAGGUGAGAAUCGGCGAUGCUAUCCGCGGAGCUGAGGAAGAAGCCUGAAAGACUCAUACACACGGCAGCGGCCAUGUAAGUAGGGAGGGUGACCCUAUAUAUAUAUAUAAUCCAUUCAUUUCAUGCAAAUGAAAUCUAUAUCUAUCUAUCUAUAUCUACACACACACAUAUAUGUGUGUGUAUGUACAUAUAUAUAUAUAUAUAUAUAUAUAUAUAUAUAUAUAUAUAUAUAUGAAUCAUACACACACACACAUGCAUGCAUAUAUGUGUGUGUGAGGAGAGAGAGAGAUCUACACACACAUAUAUAUGUAUAUAUGUGUGUGUGUCUAUAUAACACACACAGACAGAUACACACACACACACACAUAGAUUUCAUGCAAAUGAUAGAAAUGGAGCUCCAAAACUUCUGUUUAUUUUGAUGUGUAUAUAUAUUAUAUUGCAGGAGGCGUGGUCUUCUUUAAAGGAUGCAACUUAUGAAGUGAUGUUUAUGUAUCUUUAUUUCCGGUUUUGAUCAAUAACCAGCGUCAUAUAUAUAUGGCAGCUUAAGAGAUCGUUUGUGACUUGCCAGUUUGCUGUUGUAACUUGGAACUUUGUUUUUUUCAUAGGGUUUGUACUGUAACGAUAAUGAGUUCUAUAUAUGCAUAUCUUGUUUGCUGUUGCAUCCAUUUAAUUUUUUUGGGUACAAGAACUUUGCUGCAAAUCUUACAUGGGAGUUGUGGUGGUCCAUCAUUCAGGAAACUCAGUUGAAGCUUGUCACUUGUCCAACACUGAUUCAGUGGAUAAGGUCCAAUUGCAGAAUUAAAUAAAACACAAAAUAUAAUUGGAGAAUUUGGGUUACUAGUCAAACAAAAGUAGGGACUACCAAACCAAGAAAAUAGGGCUAUCUUAUUCCUUUUUCUCUAGCAUGUUUCUUCCUUCUUUGUAUGGCUGAAUAUCAAUUUUGACUUGGUUUGGCAUGGACGCGUAUUUGUUUAUCAAGUUAGCAUGUUAAUUAUGAGCUCAUAAUUUAUUUAUAUAGUGGUUAGCAAGUCAAGAUAAUAAUUGAUAUGGUAGAAAACAUAGUUAUUAGUAAAAAUUAAUACAUUAAUUUAUUAAAUGUAAUAAUGAUAUCAAUUGAUUGUACAAUCAACAUAUCAAACUAUUGAUGCAUUGUGAUAUAUAAAAAAUGUUAGUUUAUAUAAUUUUGAGAAAUUUUAGAAGUUAACCAAGUUUUAGGAAUUAACCAAACUAAAAUAUCCUGCUAGCACUCUGUAAGUUCAUUAUAUUUCCAAUUAAAUUACUACUUCAACAAUAUUAGCACAUCACUAAUUUAAUUACUAUAUCAACAACAUUAACCCAUUACUAAUUUAAUUAUUUUAUCAACAAUAUUAUCACAUGACCAAUUUAAUUAUUAAAUCAAUAAUACCAACUCAUCACUAAUUUAAUUACUUCAUCAACAACAUUAUCGCAUGACCAAUUUAAUUAUCAAAUCAACAAUAUCAACUCAUCACCAAUUUAAUUAGUUCAUCAAUAAUAUUAAUCAUUUCACACACAAUAUUAUGGAUUUCUAAAUCACAAUUCAAAAAUCAAAUAAACAUAUUUUUAUUAUAUAUAAAUUUUAUACCCUGUUGUAAUUUAUUUUUGAAUCCCCGUAAAAAAUAAUAAUAAUAAAAAAUAAAUAAAAAAUUAAAUCAUAAACUCAUGAUCCAUGGAACAUAGAUACCCGGCCAGUACUUUAAAAGUCCUCAUGAGCAAUAUCCAAUGCAAUAUUCCAUAUUUUUUAGUACCCUUGUUAAAAUAUUUUAAUUUAAUAAAAAAAUACGAGAUCAUCUCGGAUGAUUUUUUCGGAUAACUCAGUGGUUGCUGUCAUGUACUUCAUUGCCACUAGCACCAGAAACGGCAAAGAUUGACUUCCUUUAAAUUUCCCGUCGUCUCUGCUUUCAUAUUGCGUGAGAAGCACAUAAACAGUGACCACGUUGCAAAACAAAAUAAGAUAAAGGGCAAAGCAAAAAAAUAUCGGCAGACCUAAAGAAGAUCCGCAAAGAGAUCCGUGAAUCAUAAUUAACGUGGAAGAGAAAUAGAGAACAAUCAACGUAUACACGCUAAUAAAUUGCUACACAGCGGGCAAAAACCAAAGUGUACAAAGGAAUCUAAUAUUAUAUAACAAAUUUGAAAAACUAUUUUCCCAUUCUUCCACAACAAAAUUAUGAGACCCACUCUUAUCUUUGAAAGCUGCAUUCCAAUUACCCCCUGGAAAAAUCUCCGAUUUUUCCAUUGAUUCGAAGUAAAAUUAUGAGCAUUGAGAAGAUUAUUAUCUUUGAAAGCCAACUAAACCAGUAAAAAGAAAAAUAAAUGAGAAGGAGUGAAAAAAGAAGAAGAUAAAUCCCAAAUAAAAAAGCAUUGGCUAAAUAAAAGCAGAACCUCUUAUCCCAUUGCAAUAACUCUCAUUUCAGUUAAUGAUUGAAACUGUGAUAAAAAUUACAUUUCAAAGUGUUUUUAACUUAAAAAUAUAUUAAAAUAACUUUUUAUUUAUUUUUUAUAUCAGUGUUAGAGAAUAAUAUAAACCAUAUCUUGGGAUAUCACCUAAAAGUCUAAGCUAUUAGGUUGAGAUGGUUCUUUGACAUGAUAUCAGAACCUUAAUGACCAAUCAAUCAGUUACGAGUUUAAAUUAAUCUCAUCAUCUCCGUUUAUUUGAUAAAAAUCAAGCACAAGAUAGUGUGAAUCUGUGUAAUUUUCAAGCCUACAGACUUUUAUUUGAGAAGGUGUGUUAGGGAAUAAUAUAAAUUAUAUUUUGGGACCUAAUUUAAGAGUUUAAGGUAUUAAGUUGAAUUGGUUUUUUUGACAAUCAACACAUAAAAACGAUAAAAAAAAUACAAAAAAUAAUUAAUUUGAUUUUUUUUCAAAAACUAAGUUUUGACCCAAAAUAAAAAAACAAACACUACCUAAAAAUCCUUCAAAUAUUUUAUUAGAAAAAAUCAGAGCAAAGAUAGAGAGACAGUCGGGCUUCACUCACAUAUUAAUAAAAAUAAAUUUACAUGAUAUUAUUUGAAUUCUAAGAAAGACGAUGGUAAAAAUAUUAUUUUCUUACAUCAUUGAAUAAAGAAAUAGUAUUGGCCUUAUUUGUUUUUGUGUUUUAAAAGUGCUUUUGAAAAAAAAAUAAAAAAGUUUUGUUUUUUUCUUUGCUUCAAAUUAAUAUUUUUUUUGUGUGUUUCUAGAUCAUUUUGAUGCUUUGAUGUCAAAAAUAAUUUUUUUUAAAAAAAAAUAUUAUUUUGAUAUAUUUUUAAGUAAAAAACACUUUAAAAAAUAACCACAAUUACACUCUCAAACAACUAGAAAAGCAAGUUCUCCUUUGUGGACAUCCAACGUGAGAGGUUUAUAAGCUAUUUUCUUAAUUUUCAUGAUAAAUCUUAUUUUUUGUUAUAUAUAUAUAUAUAUAUAUAUAUAUAUAUAUAUAUAUAUAUAUUUCAUUUUCUCUAAGCUUCUGUUUCUACUAUAUUUUGUUCUUCUAUCACCUAAAACUUGGUAGUUUAACCUGAAUCAGACUGUUCUAGAAAAACUCAAAUUAAGAUUUUUCUCUAAAAUUAUAGGAACUAAAGUCUCCAAUCAAAAGCCAAUCAAUGACGGAAGCAGACACGGCAAACCACCUCUCGUAUGCACGAGAUAAAACUAAAGGAUUGGAUUUGAUAUAUAGUCAUUUUGGUUGUGACAGAGAGAAUCUUUAUUUGCAAAAUUUCUCCAGUACUGCUGUUAUGGUUGGUCUGUCGUGGCGAGUCUCUGGCGUCUGAUCUGGACAGUAGAUGGGUUUUUGGCAGGCGUGGCUGCCAAGGGUUUUGUUAGUAAAUGUAUCUGCAAAAAUUAUCCCCCCCUCCAGCCUUUACCUUGAAUAAUUAAUAAAUUUUAACUCUAAAUUUCUGUUUAUUUUUAAUUUGGCCCCUCCAACCCCUGUAUUUUGGUGUGCCAUUUGCAUAAUUCUUCUAACUCUGACAUAUAAUGAUGGAAUAAUUAUAAUGGUAUUUACAAUAAUUGUUUUUCGACCUUUUAGAAUAUAUUAACACAAUAAAUUCGUUGCUAACCCAUCAGUAAUAAUUUAAAAAUAUAUUACCGAAACAAUCUCCAAAUUUUCCAAUCGUCCGAAACAAAAUUGCUCAAACCAGCCAGGUGGGAAAUCUAAAUGCUACAUUAGUCUUCUCGAGUUUUUCGAUGCGGCCCCACGUCUGUGUCCCACUUGAUUCGGUGUUAAGGAAUUAAACCUGCGCCUCGAGUCGGCAUCUCAUCAAAUAUUUUUCAAAUUUUAGUUAAAUAUUUCCGAUUUAAGAAAUUAUAAAAAAGAAAUUAAAACCAAUGUUAAGGUUGAAGAAUUUUCCUACGAUCAGGUGUGCGCAUUAGGGCUUUCAAGACGCAAUGCAUUUGACUGGAAUAAUAAUAAUAAUAAUAAUAAGUAUUGUUCGGAGUAUCGUUCCCUUCAUUUUCUGUUCUCCUCCCAAAUAAUGAAAAAAUAUCACAUACCUAUACAUUCCUUUCCUUCCCAAAUUUUCAAUGCCUUCCUUUUGCUUUAGAAGAUAGUACUACCUUUAGCAAAAGUUCGAAACUUUCCUUCUUCUUCUUCUUGUUUUUUUUUUUUUUGUAAAGAUACUUUUAUGCUUAUUAGAAUCUGAUGAUUAAAUCUUGGAAUUCAAUAAUUAAAAAAAAGCAUUCAUACAAUACUAAAUCAUUAUUAAUCAUAGUCUUAAAAACUCGAUUUUGAUUAAUAAAUAAAUUUACACGACAUUAUUUGAAUUCUAAGAAAUACGGUAAAAAAAUUAAUUUUGUAUAUAAUAAAAUAACAGAUAGGAAAAGCACGUUCUCCUUAGCGGACAUCCAAUUACAUGGGAGGUUUAUAAACUAUUUUCUGAAUUUUUACAAUGAAUCUUAUUUUUUUGCUUAUAUAUAUAUAUAUAUAUAUAUAUAUAUAUAUAUAUAUAUAUAUAUAUAUAAUUUUCUCUACCCUUCUGUUUCUACUAUAUUUGUUCUUCUAUCACCUAAAACUUAGCACGUAGUACUUUAACCUGAAUCAAAUUGUUCUAUAGAAACUCAAAUUAAGAUUUCUCUCUAAAAUUAUAGGAACAAAAGUCUUCAAUAAAAAAAAGCCAUUAAAGACGGAAGCAGCAUGGCGCCUCGAUCCCGUAUGCACGAUAUAAAACUAAAGGAUUGGAUUUGAUUAUCAUUUUGGUUGUGACAGAGAGGAUCUUUAUUUGCAAAACUUUAAGGUUUGGCUGUUAAUAUGUAGUGAUGGGGAUGUUGAAGAAAUUCCUCCACUGCACAUGGUUAAUGAAGUUAGAUUUCCAGGAGAGAAAAAAAAAUUAAAUUAAGAUAUCAUUUUUUUUUUGGGAAAGAUUAAUAUGUAUAAGAAAAGAAAAUAAUAUACACAAAUACGAGGGUACUAUACCCAAGAAAACAAGACAAGCAAAAUAGUCAAAAAGGAAAAAACUGGCAAAGACUUGAUGCAAACAAGAUCACGUACAGACUUGGAUGCAGACAUGAUCACGCUGCCUGGAAUAAGCGACAAUCCAUAUCCAAGCAGCAAGGGAAAUUAACAAAAAAACAACUAGCUAAUCUGGACAGUAGAUGGGUUUUGUGUGUGUGUGUGUGUGUGUCUUCGCAUUUCCUUUCGUGUAUAUGCAAUUUAAUGUAGAAAACUAGUCCUUUCGACGUUGGCAUUUAAUACUUUGAAAUGUAGGCACUAUAUUGUUUUUAUGGUUGGUCUGUCGUGGCGAGUCUCCGGCUUCUGAUCUGGACAGUAGAUGGGUUAAUUUUGGCAGGGGUGGCUGCCAAGGGUUUUAUUAGUAAAUGUACCUGCAAAAAUUAUUUCACAUCGAGAAAUAUUUAAUUAUUAGAAAUCUAUUUACACAUCGAGAAUUUCAUUGAAAUGAAAACAUAUAUCCAUCAAUCUAGUAUAAACGUGGGAAAUUUCCCUACUCUCAAGUCGGACUCGUAAAAGAGUAGUAGCUGUCUCCAGCAACAGGAACGGAUAAGAAACAAGAUGAUGUUGUCGACAUCAAAUUGGUCAUAAACUAGUUGUAAACACAGCAUCUUCCCGUCUUUAUGAAUUUUCAAGUCACUCGAAAUAAUGCCUCGCCAUGCAUGCUCCUUGGACCACAUUGGAAAACCAUGGCACAACCUUUCUUUAUCUAAGACCUCUUUAUUUAUGCUUAUCAACGAUGAGGUUGUUCAAUCGACCCCUGUAUCAGCAGCAAUGUGUAAAUAUAUAUUAUUUUUUCCCCUGUCUUUACCUUGAAUAAUUAGUAAAUUUUAACUCUAAAUUUUUGUUUAUUUCUAAUUUGGCCCCUCCAAAUCUAAUGUCUGGCUCACCCCUGUAUUUUGGUGUGGCGUGGCAUUGCUGCUGAGGGUUGUGGCUUUAUGAUGCGCACACUCGGGCUUACUAUGUACGUGGCUGGUUGUUUUUGUUUUUAUUUUUAGGUCACAUGACUUUUAUUUAUUGUUGCUACCCAAUUUUUAACCCAUGUUGUCAUAACCCAAUUCUGGGUUAUUCUCCAAAAAUUUGAACCCUCUAUCCAAUCAUGCUUCAAGUACUGGAUCGGUGAAUGCACUGGAGGUGGAAUGCUCAUAAAACCUUAAAGCACUAAUGGCAAGAGCAAGGUGUGAAGAAGGUAGUGUGCACUCUCAAUGAUAGAAGAGUACAAAAUUCUUCUAUAGAAUGGGAAGAUGGAGCCUACCCAAUUAUUUCCUUUUGUUUGAUCAUGUCUGUUUCAACCUGUUUUAGUCUUGUUAGCAAUUUAGCUCAUAAUGCCACAAGACUUUCUCUGUCAAAUGAGCAUUUCCUAUUAAUAAAAUCAUGUGUUUUCCUGUGUUCAUGAUGUACCUUCAUGCAAAUAACAUACUGAACACAUCUUUUACUCACAAAACCAUUGUAUCAAGAAUUCUUUGGUGUUUUCCCUUUUUUUUCUCUCCAAAAAAAAAAAAAAACAAGCAUGACCUCAUGUUUUCACAAGGAUUUUUGGGAAAUCAAAGUUUUAAUACAAAAUAAAAAUCAAAUUGGUGUUUGUUCUAACAAACAAGUUGUGAAAAUUCAAGUGAUAUCCUAACACCUAUAAAAAACCUGAAAAAUAACCCGAACACCAUGAGAUAACUUCAAAGCUGAGUUUUGAUUGCAUGAAUAAUGAGAAACCAUUUUGCAUAUUCGCAUGUGAGAAAGCAAAGCUUGCCGAUUCUGAAUGCAUGCAUUUGAAAUGAAGAAAGGCCAUCUUUGAUCAUCCUUUCAUAAAUUCUAAAAAAUCCCUUGUAGUCCCCAUUUGAGCUUAAUAACUUUUUCUUGAAAACAUAACUUUGGCUAGGAUCACACCCUACACUGGGAGCAAGUGCAAAAAAAAAUCCUUAAUGAUUAAAAGUGCCCAAACAACCCUGAAGGGCAUGAAAAAGUCCUUAACAUUAUAUAAAAGUACCCAAACAACACUGGGGGGCAUGAAAGAAAAUCCUUAAUGAUCAAAAAGUGCCCAAACAAAGCUGGGGGGCAUGAAAGAGUUCCAAAAAUAUUUGAGCGUGCCAUAAAAAUCACUAAUAUAAUGAUGCUCAAAACCAAAAGAAGAAAAAACCCAACAUUGGAGGGGCACCGUGGACCAUUUUGCAAAUCAAUUCCAAGGUACAUAAAUGUAUGAACAAAAAAGGAGUUUGGGAUAUAAGUACUAGUGAUCCUUAGUAUUAAAGUCCCUUAAACACCUUUUGAGCCUAAAUAUCCUUUUUCUUCAUAACCAAGAGCCAAAGCCUACGUUACGUGCUCAAUCAAGCCCUUUCUGAUUAAAGGCAGACAAUCUGGAUCGGUAGGCUUUGCUUUCCCAUGUGAAACAAGUCAUUAUUCAUGCAAGCAAAAUGAAUGCUUUGAAAACUGGUUCUUUGAAAUCCUAAAAUUGAAGCUUGAACCCUUUUGACCAAUCAAACAUCACCUCACUUCACCAAAAACAAAAUAAAUUUUUUCAACACUCAUGCAAACCUAUCCAUGAGAAUCGCUUGAAUUUUUCAGAACAAGUUUGUUUUGAACAAACAUCAAAAUGAUUUUUUGGUAUAGCUUUGAAAUUCCAAAAAUUCUUCAUGAAAACAAUUCCUUGUAAAUAACCAGAUCUUCUUUCAUAUAGCCUCAUCCCCAAGAAAAACCCAAAUUGAACACUUGGAGACAUGAUCAAACUAGGGGGCAAUCCAGCAAAACACAUAAGGCUGACUCCAUGAUUCCCCUUCUUAGAAAACAUGAGAUAUAGUGCAGAGCUGACAACCUUUCAGAUAAAGGUUUGUGGGCAAACAAGUAUGCUGAUCCCUCUUAAAGGUCAAGAUCACAAGAUAUGACUCAAGUAAGCAAGAGCGGAAGAGCCAUCAAAGCUUACUAUCAGAGACUCAAAUUUUUGAGAAAAGGAAAACUCUAUGAAGGCAAGGGGACCUAUAUUUCUCAGGUAAGUAUACAUGCGUAUUGAUCAUGAUGCAUUGCUUCAAAUCGGUGUCUCACCAUCAUCUCUUUUUAAGCGGGCUGUUGAGCCCUCAACCAUCUCAGGUAAUGCGCUUCACAGUCCUACCUCGUUGCUUUUUAAGUGCACCUUUAGGCCAUAUCAUACCUCUUUUUGAGUGCGCCUUCGAGCCCUCACCUCAUGGGUAGUGUGUUUUCUAACCCUGCCUCCUUUUGAGUGCGCCUUAGAGCCCUCGACCACAUUAGGUAGUGUGUUUUCUAACCAUACCUCCUUUUGAGUGCGCCUUUGAGCCCUCACCUCUUGGGUAGUGUGUUUUCUAACCCUACCUUUUUUUGAGUGCGCCUUCGAGCCCUCACCUCUUGGAUAGUGUGUUUUCUAACCCUGCCUCUUUUGAGUGCGUCUUCGAGCCCUCAUCCCCUAGGUAGUGUGUUUUCUAACCCUACCUCCUUUCGAGUGCACCUCAGAGCCCUCGACCACCUUAGGUAGUGUGUUUUCCAACAUUACCUCUUUUAGAGUGCACCUUAGAGCCCUCAACCACCUUAGGUAGUGUGUUUUCUAACCUUACCUCUUUUUAAGUGUGCCUUAAAGCCCCCGACCACUUUGGGUAGUGUGUUUUCUAACCCUACCUCCUUUCGAGUGCGCCUUUGAGCACUCACCUCUUAGGUAGUGCGUUUUCUAACCCUACCUUCUUUUGAGUGAGCCUUCGAGCCCUCACCUCAUGGACAGUGUGUUUUCUAACCAUGUCUCUUUUUUAGUGUGCCUUUAAGCCCUCACCUCUUAGGUAGUGCGUUUUCUAACCCUAUCUCUUAUCAAGUGCGCUAUUCAUCCCUCGUUCCCCUUCGAGUCCUAUCUCUUUUCAAACGCUCCUUGGAGCUUCCAUCUCUUGAAUAGUGCGCCUUCGAGCCCUAUCAUGUCGUCUCUUCAAGACAUUUUUUUUACCUGGGUAGGUCACCCAUCAUAAUCAGACCUCUUUGAAAACUCUUUUCAUCUUCCAUUUGGGCUAGUUGCCUAUUACAAUGAAACUAUCUUGAGAAAUCUUCGUAUUUCUCACCAUUUUGAAAAAUCCCCGCAUUUUUCACCACUUUGAAAACUCUUUUCACUUUUCACCUGGGCAGGUCGCCCAAUACAACAAGACCACUUUGAAAAAUCUUUGUAUUUUUCACCACUUUAAAAAAUCUUUGUAUUUUUCACUCUUCACGUGAGCAGGCCACCCAUUACAACAAGACUACUAUGAAAAAUCUUCGUAUUUUUCACCACUUUGAAAAAUCUCUGUAUUUUUCACCAUUUUGAAAAAAAAUCUUUGAAAAAUCUUUGCAUUUUUCACCUGGGUAGGUCACCCAUUACAAUAAGACCACCUCAAAAAAAACCUUUUUUCAACUUUCUCUGGGUAGGUCACCCUUGACAAUUCGACCACUUCAAAAUCUCUGAAUUUUCAAAAGAAAAAUCUUUCAGUUUUUACUCUGAGUGCGCUUUCUAGCACUCAAAAGGAUUUAUCAUUUCUUAAUAUGAUGAGUCAAUUAUCUCUCAUCCUUAUUUUUCUUUACAACGCUUACUAUCUAAAGUCUCUUACGAGACUUUUUAUCGCAAGCAUUGUAAAGAGAGGGGCAACUAUCAUAACCAAUUCUGGGUUAUUCCCCAAAAAUUCAUUUUUUUUCAAAAUAAAAAUCAAAAAAAUAAAAUAAAGGCUGGCAACGUGGAGAAAGCAGGCCGGGAAAUCAAGUUGUAAUUUUUGGAGGAAAUUCAAGGCCUAAUUGUACCCCAUUAUGCCAAAAAAUAGAGAAAAAAGUGCAAAUUCAAGGUCAAAUUAAAUGAUUAUUGGACAAAUUUGCAUAAAAAUUAAGUCCAAUGACAUAAUUAAAUUUUUAAUAGGCCAAUUUGAUUUAAUCAUGGGCCAAAUUAAAUUUUAAUUAUGUUUAAGAAUUAAUUUGGGUCCAAUUGAAGGAUUUAAUUAAGUGCAAGGAUUUAAUUAUACUUUAAAUGGGUCAAAUUAAUUUUAUUUGGGGCUUAAUUGGUGAAAAAUUAAGUUUGGGAGCCUAAUUUGGCCUUAAUUGAGGACAUUGGAAUUUUAAGAGACCAAAUUUAAUUUUUACCAUGUUAAUAUAUUGAAAUCAGGGGCAAAAUUACAAGAAAAUUGAAGUUUUGGGGUCAAUUAGGGGCUAAAUUGAAGAAAUCUGAGACCAAGGACCAUAUCGCAAUAGGCGCGUAACUUUGGGGCUCCAAUUGAAGUUCAUCAGGGGCUUAAUUGUAAAAUUUUAGGGUCAAUUAGAGAUUCAAUUGAAAUCAAAUUUAAAGAGGGAGGACUAAAAUGAACUUUGGCCAAAAUCAGAACUUUGGUACUGUUCAUCUUGUUCUUUAAUUCUCUGAAACAGCUGGUCGGUUACCAACUUUGCAGCUGCAUUUAAUGUACCUAACAUCCAUCAAAUUUGACAAAACUUGCACGAAACUGAUCACCAGACAUCCCUCUAUAUUGGGGUAUGGUCUUCACCAGCUCACUGGCAAAUAAACGGAUGUGGCACCACCCCAAAGAGGCCAACUCAGGCAGCCUGCAGCUGCAGAUUUGACAAUUUGACAGUGUACCAUGUCUAUUUUGAGCCAACGGUUGGGAUCCUUCCCAUCUAAAUCAAUGGCUGAAAUGUUUCUUUAUUGUAGACAAGAUUGCCCUCUUCCACCGCCUAUAAAUAAAGGUGGAUUUAAUGGCCUGAGGGAGGAGAAAAUCGGGUCCAAAGUCAGCCAAAAAACCAGUUUUUCUUCCAGUUUCUGCACAUUUCUUCUUUUUUUUUCUCUCUCCACCGUGGUCUUCAGCCACCACCACCCUCAUCACCGGUCUUCCCACCAUUACCUUCAUCAUAGGAAGCCAACACAACCACCAGCCGACCACCAAGAGCCACCGUCGGUCUCUCUCUCCUCUUUGAAGCCCCUCCCGCGCGUUUUUCUUCUUUAAUUUGCUUCCUCUGCCGCCGGCCACCAUCUCUGUCACAGCCUCAGCCACCGUCCUCACGUCAGCCCCUCACCGUUUCUACCACCAACCGGCCACCAAGCAGCCACCGCGACUCUCUCCCUCUUCUCCUUCGAGCUUUUCUCUCUCCUCUGCAACUUUUUCUUCUUCCUCCCGUAGCCGACGCCGGCCUCCACCGCUGCAACCACUGGCAGCACACCGUCAUCCUCGGCCAGACCACCACCACGCCAGGUUGUCCGCCCUCUCUCCCCUUCCCCUUCUUCUUCUUCUUCUUCUUCGCUGUCCCUGUUGCAUGAACAGAGGACGUGAAUUAUAAUUCACGUCCACUGUUCAUGCAGUGGACUUUACCUAUUUUUUUAAAAAAAAAACAAAUCCAAAAACUUUCAAAAAAAUUGUGAUUUUUUCAAAUAUUGUUCUACUAAUUUUUCAUAAUAUCAGAUUGUAUAUUUACACUGUAAAAUAUAAAUUUGAUAUUAAAAUAUCCGAUUUUCUUCAAAAUAUUUCAAAAAAAAAAUUCAAAACAUUUUUUUUUUAAAAAAAUAUUUUAUUGCAUACAGACAAAUUCUAAAAUUUUUCCAAGCAUAUUUUUUAUAAAAAAAAAAACAAAAAUUGCAUCUUUUUCAUGUUUAAAAAAAAUCAAAAAAUGGAUAUCAUAACCAGUUUAUGAUUAUCUAUUAGGAUUUGGCCAACAUGUCAAAAAUAUUUUCCAUUUUUUUUUAGGAUCCAGAUGUAGACUUUAAUAUUUGUGAGAUGUAAAAUUAGACGAUAAAGUACACCCUCAGGUAUUAAAGAUACAAAGUGUAGAAAUACGAUGCUAAAAUUUAGACUUUAGAACGGUUAGGAUUUAACCCAAUAAGGUAGAGACUCUCUCAGGAAGAGAGAUCUGCCUUGAGUCUAAGAAAAGACCAACGAAUAGAAACCCGACUUAGAAAAAAACAAUCAAACAACAAUGCAGCUUACCUUAGGUAGGGUGCACUAGGGGUUAUGUGUCUUCCCCUUGCACAACCAGUCCCUUACCCAGACUCUCGUAGACCAUAGGUUCCUAGUGACCAUAAUACGAGGUGGCGAGUCCUAAAAAUUAAUCAUAAUUUUAUGAUUAAAUCCAAAAACCUUUUCCAACACAACACCUCUCAUCAGGAGCCACGACAGAGAGCCUCCGCCGUCCACAAACGACAUCGCACCCCCCGCGACACAAGUUUCGGUAAUUUUUCAUAAAAUACCAAAAAUAGAAAAAAAAAUUGAAAAUCUAAAAAAUACAUCUUUUAAUAUAUUUGCAUCGUUUUUAGCAUUUUUAACGUCGUCUAAAAAGAAUUUAAAUUUUCAAAGGUCUUUCAAACGCGUUCAACUUUUCACGCGUUAUUUUAAAAUUAUUGAUUUUCCUCAUUGAGUCGACAUUGAUAUUGCUCAUUUUCAAAAAAUACAAAAAAAUUAAGAAAAAUCAAAUUUACAAAAAGCAAGAAGUUGAUGGACCAAAUUUGAAAACCUAACAAUAUUUUUGCCGAUAAAUACUAGCCCCUUCAACACACUAAAAAAAAAAAAAAGGCCAAUUUUGAACCAUUAGAUAACAAAAACACAAAAAAAAACCUAACUCUAAACCAUCACUUUCAAAACCAGCAACCGCCCCCUCCCGCUGGCCAUUUUUUUUCCCUUCACAGCCGCCUCUAACCCUCCUCCAUAGCCGCUACCCAAAGCAACCUCUUCACCGACUAUCCCCUACAGACCCUCACCAGAACCAGCCCCCCACACUGCCUCCUCUCCUUUUCUCUCCACAGAUCCUCCCUCUCAGCAGCUCCCUCUGCCCUCCGCGGCCUUCAUUCCAUCCGGCUCCUCCCCACUUGGCGAAACAAAAUAGCUGCAGCAACCCCGGCUUGGAAUUUUUUGGCCUCCACACCGUAGCCCCAUCUCCUUCCUCCUCUCGAGAAACAAACAAACCAAACAGCCGCCCCCCUGGUUUUGAUUUUCUUCUCCAGCCGCCCCCCUGGUUUUGAUUUUCUUCUCCAGCCGACCAACCGGCAGCCAUCACAGGCCGCUACCACCGACAAGGGUGAAGACCAUCCAGCAGCACGCCCACCGAGCCAUCAGCACCGUCCACACCGUCAGACAGCAGCGCCGCCACAGAUCCACCGUCGCCCUCUGCACCCUGCAGUGUCGCCCGAUCUGCCACCAGAAACAGAGAAGAAGAUGGCGAAGCCCCAAGAACAGACCUGAGAAAGAAGAAAGUGAAGCAGAUAAGGAUGGAAAGCAGAGGAAAACAGAUCUAAAAAAUUAACUAAAACAGACUGCCUGUGCGUUUUCUUUUGGUUGCAGGUGACGGUGAUCUUCAUCGCCGGCGAGGAAGGAAGAAGGAUGAAGCCGCUCCAGAUCCCCCUGCUGCCUGGAGUUUAUUGCAGCGGCAAAUAUUUGUUUAGUUUGAAUUUUUAUUUGUAUGUUGGAAAUGUGGAUGUAACAAAGAAAAGAAAAGAAAAAAUAUAGUGGAAGAGUUUGUGUGUGUUUGUAUUUAUUUUAUUGGUGUUUUAUUUUAUUUUAUUAUGUAUGAUAAAAUUGUAAAGAUUAAAGUAGAAUUUAAUAUUUUGAUUUCGUCUAGAAUUAUUAAUUUAUAUGAAAGUUAUAUUUUUAAUAUUCGAUUAAAAUUAAAACUUUUUUAACACGUUAAAAUUAUAAAGCAGUUUGAAUAUCUGACAAGAUCAAUAUAUUCAGUUUCUUACUGGUCUUUAAUAAAUUACUCGGUGGCAGAUUCCAACAAACCGAUUCAAGCAAACGCAUAAC